rnacentral:rRNA from 1 species
AUUGAACGCUGGCGGCAUGCCUUACACAUGCAAGUCGAACGGUAACAGGUCUUCGGAUGCUGACGAGUGGCGAACGGGUGAGUAAUACAUCGGAACGUGCCUAGUAGUGGGGGAUAACUACUCGGAAGAGUGGCUAAUACCGCAUGAGAUCUACGGAUGAAAGCAGGGGAUCGCAAGACCUUGUGCUACUAGAGCGGCCGAUGGCAGAUUAGGUAGUUGGUGGGAUAAAAGCUUACCAAGCCGACGAUCGGUAGCUGGUCUGAGAGGACGAUCAGCCACACGGGGACUGAGACACAGCCCAGACUCCUACGGGAGGCAGCAGUGGGGAAUUUUGGACAAUGGGCGCAAGUCUGAUCCAGCAAUGCCGCGUGCAGGAUGAAGGCCUACGGGUUGUAAACUGCUUUUGUACGGAGCGAAAAGGCUCUCUCUAAUACAGGGGGCUGAUGACGGUACCGUAAGAAUAAGCACCGGCUAACUACGUGCCAGCCGCCGCAGUAACAC